UGGGGAAUAUUGGACAAUGGGGGCAACCCUGAUCCAGCAAUGCCGCGUGUGUGAAGAAGGCCUUCGGGUUGUAAAGCACUUUAGUUGGGGAAUAAGUUGAUUAGUUUAAGAGAUGAAUCAAUUGAAGGUACCCAAAGAAUAAGCACCGGCUAACUCUGUGCCAGCAGCCGCGGUAAUACAGAGGGUGCAAGCGUUAAUCGGAGUUACUGGGCGUAAAGGGCGCGUAGGCGGCCGUAUAAGUUUGAUGUGAAAUCCCUGGGCUUAACCUAGGAACUGCAUUGAAUACUGUAUGGCUAGAGUACUGUAGAGGGUAGUGGAAUUUCCGGUGUAGCGGUGAAAUGCGUAGAGAUCGGAAGGAACACCAGUGGCGAAGGCGGCUACCUGGACAGAUACUGACGCUGAGGCGCGAGAGCGUGGGGAGCAAACAGGAUUAGAUACCCCCGUAGUCC
rnacentral:rRNA from 1 species